AUUUUUAGUACUUAUAGUUCAUCUGUCAUGGAUGGUUCAGCUGAGGACUCGUUACAUCUAGUUGAAGCCUAAAGUAAGGUCAUUACUGAACUUCCACCUGACCAUGCUAAGAGGGCUUUGGAGGCCUUGUGCUUGCCCGUCGUUACUCCUUUACAGGAAGUUGUCAGCCAAGGCCCAUACACAUUAAAUAGCAAGCCUGCUCGUGAUUUAAC